GUGCUCACUUGAGCAGCACAUAUAUUAAAACAGAAUAAUACAGAAAAGAUCAGUAUGGCCCUUCAUAACGAUGACACACAAAUUCAUGAAGCCUUUCAUAUUUAA
ensembl:snRNA U6 U6 spliceosomal RNA